rnacentral:rRNA from 1 species
UACGGGGGGGGCAAGCGUUGUUCGGAAUUACUGGGCGUAAAGGGCUCGUAGGCGGCCAACUAAGUCGGACGUGAAAUCCCUCGGCUUAACCGGGGAACUGCGUCUGAUACUGGAUGGCUUGAGUUUGGGAGAGGGACGCGGAAUUCCAGGUGUAGCGGUGAAAUGCGUAGAUAUCUGGAGGAACACCGGUGGCGAAGGCGGCGUCCUGGACCAACACUGACACUGAGUGAGCGAAAGCCAGGGGAGCAAACGGG